rnacentral:rRNA from 1 species
CGGACGGGUGAGUAACACGUGGAUAACCUACCUAUAAGACUGGGAUAACUUCGGGAAACCGGAGCUAAUACCGGAUAAUAUAUUGAACCGCAUGGUUCAAUAGUGAAAGACGGUUUUGCUAUCACUUAUAGAUGGAUCCGCGCCGCAUUAGCUAGUUGGUAAGGUAACGGCUUACCAAGGCAACGAUGCGUAGCCGACCUGAGAGGGUGAUCGGCCACACUGGAACUGAGACACGGUCCAGACUCCUACGGGAGGCAGCAGUC